rnacentral:piRNA from 1 species
UACAUUACAUCUGUGAGUCUGCAUC